AUGUUGCAUGAAAGGAGAGAAGGUUAGCACUCCCCUUGACAAGGAUAGAAGAGGCCCUUGGGCCUGACAACACACAUAAGGUUAAGGCAUUGCCACCUACUUCCUGGCAUCUAACCACUGUUUUUU
rnacentral:ncRNA from 1 species